rnacentral:rRNA from 1 species
UACGUAGGGUGCGAGCGUUGUCCGGAAUUAUUGGGCGUAAAGGGCUUGUAGGCGGUCUGUCGCGUCUGCCGUGAAAUUUCGGGGCUCAACCCCGAACUUGCGGUGGGUACGGGCAGACUAGAGUGUGGUAGGGGAGACUGGAAUUCCUGGUGUAGCGGUGAAAUGCGCAGAUAUCAGGAGGAACACCGAUGGCGAAGGCAGGUCUCUGGGCCACUACUGACGCUGAGAAGCGAAAGCAUGGGGAGCGAACAGG